AACGAACGCUGGCGGCAUGCCUAACACAUGCAAGUCGAACGAGACCUUCGGGUCUAGUGGCGCACGGGUGCGUAACGCGUGGGAAUCUGCCCCUUGGUUCGGAAUAACUUCGGGAAACUGAAGCUAAUACCGGAUAAUGACGUAAGUCCAAAGAUUUAUCGCCAAGGGAUGAGCCCGCGUAGGAUUAGCUAGUUGGUGGGGUAAAGGCUCACCAAGGCGACGAUCCUUAGCUGGUCUGAGAGGAUGAUCAGCCACACUGGGACUGAGACACAGCCCAGACUCUACGGAGGCAGCAGUGGGGAAUAUUGGUACAAUGGGCGAAAGCCUGAUCCAGCAAUGCCGCGUGAGUGAUGAAGGCCUUAGGGUUGU
rnacentral:rRNA from 1 species